rnacentral:rRNA from 1 species
UACGUAGGGUGCGAGCGUUAAUCGGAAUUACUGGGCGUAAAGCGUGCGCAGGCGGUUCGUGAUGUCUGAUGUGAAAGCCCCGGGCUUAACCUGGGAAUGGCAUUGGAAACUAGCGGGCUGGAGUGUGGCAGAGGGGGGUGGAAUUCCACGUGUAGCAGUGAAAUGCGUAGAGAUGUGGAGGAACACCGAUGGCGAAGGCAGCCCCCUGGGCUAACACUGACGCUCAUGCACGAAAGCGUGGGGAGCAAACGGG